rnacentral:rRNA from 1 species
UACGUAGGGUGCGAGCGUUGUCCGGAAUCAUUGGGCGUAAAGGGCGCGCAGGUGGCUCUGUAUGUCUGCCGUGAAAGCAUACAGCUCAACUGUAUUGUGUCGGUAGAAACUGCAGGACUGAGGCUGGGAGGGGCUGGUGGAAUUCCCUGUGUAGCGGUGAAAUGCGUAGAGAUGGAGGAGAACACUCGUGGCGAAGGCGGCCAGCUAGACCAGUUCUGACACUGAGGCGCGACAGCGUGGGGAGCAAACAGG